CCCCAAGGGCACAAAGGAGACACUGACACAAUGGGGGGUCCCAGGGCUUUAUUGGGGAACAGCGGGGGCACCCCAGCAUCCCCCAGCGCCCCCCAGCACCCAGGGCCUGCCUGCGGGCUGAGGGGACAUGGGGGGAGCAGCAGGACAUGGGAGGUCCAGGUUGGGCACACGUGGUCAUGGAUGGACACAGGAGCACCCACGGAGGUCCCAUAUGGUGAUGGAUGCAGGUCCCACGUGGUCAUGGGUGGUGAUGGAUGCAGGUCCCACGUGGUCAUGGGUGGUCAUGGAUGCAGGUCCCACGUGGUCAUGGGUGGUGAUGGAUGCAGGUCCCACGUGGUCAUGGGUAGUGAUGGAUGCAGGUCCCACAUGGUCAUGGGUGGUGAUGGAUGCAGGUCCCACGUGGUCAUGGGUGGUGAUGGAUGCAGGUCCCACGUGGUCAUGGGUGGUGAUGGAUGCAGGUCCCACGUGGUCAUGGGUGGUGAUGGAUGCAGGUCCCAUGUGGUCAUGGGUGGUCAUGGAUGCAGGUCCCAGGUGGUCAUGGGUGGUCAUGGAUGCAGGUCCCACAUGGUCAUGGGUGGUCAUGGAUGCAGGUCCCACGUGGUCAUGGGUGGUCAUGGAUGCAGGUCCCACGUGGUCAUGGGUGGUCAUGGAUGCAGGUCCCACGUGGUCAUGGGUGGUCAUGGAUGCAGGUCCCACGUGGUCAUGG